CGUCCCGUCGAGGGGGAUGCUCACCGGGGUCUCGCGCACCUCGAACUCGCCGACCUCGCCCACGGCGCCGGGGUCGGACGCCCCGUGGACCGUC
rnacentral:tRNA from 1 species